CUGGAAGGAGGCAAGAGGAGAGGUUGACAAGCACACUGAAUGACAACUGAACAAGACAUUCAGAACUGGGCAAUGCUGUCACAUUAGAAGUCAUUGAAGGAGCUGAAGAAUUUAGCCAGGAAAAUUGCAGAUGCCCACAAGACAUAACAACUGUCUUUAAACGCUUGAGAAACUAUCAUUUGGGAAUCAAAUUUAGAUGAAUAUUUGACAUCCCUUUAGGUGCACUUUCUUUUUACAAAAUGCCAGAAGUAUUUUUUAAAGAACAUUCAGCUGCAUUAAAACCUCUGAUUUUAAAAACAACUAAGUGGAAUAAACCUGGAACUUCAAAAUGUUCUCCCAACUGAAACCUGUUACCCGUUUGGUUUGAAAUUGAGUCACUAACUUUAAGCAGGAUGCAACUUCUUACCACCACCUUCAACCAUAUCUUCCAGCAAUGAUCUCAAGAGCUAUUAGGAUAGAUCUGUGACUUGUACUUAGGGGUUAGACAUCUGUCAGCCCUUGAGAUGGGACCAAGAAAAAGUUUUAAUUAAAUAUUUUCCUUGACUGACAACGAGGAGGGCAUAACACUUUUUCUAUUUUUUCAUUUGUUCUAUGGAUUGAAAGGAAAAUGGAUUUAAUACUGCAAAGUUAAUAUUACUUCUUCAUGUAAAUUUUUAUUAUAUACUGCAAUGAAG
rnacentral:lncRNA from 1 species